GCCUCUGUAGCUCAGUUGGUUAGAGCGCUGCACCGGAAUCGCAGGGCCGUAGGGUUCAAUUCCUACCAGAGGAC
rnacentral:tRNA from 1 species